AUUGAACGCUGGCGGCAUGCUUUACACAUGCAAGUCGAACGGCAGCGCGGGCUUCGGCCUGGCGGCGAGUGGCGAACGGGUGAGUAAUGCAUCGGAACGUGCCCAGUAGUGGGGGAUAGCGCGGCGAAAGCCGGAUUAAUACCGCAUACGACCUGAGGGUGAAAGCGGGGGACCGAAAGACCUCGCGCUAUUGGAGCGGCCGAUGUCGGAUUAGCUAGUUGGUGGGGUAAAGGCUUACCAAGGCGACGAUCCGUAGCUGGUCUGAGAGGACGACCAGCCACACUGGGACUGAGACACGGCCCAGACUCCUACGGGAGGCAGCAGUGGGGAAUUUUGGACAAUGGGGGCAAGCCUGAUCCAGCCAUGCCGCGUGCGGGAAGAAGGCCUUCGGGUUGUAAAGCGCUUUUGUUCGGGAAGAAAUCCUGUGGGCUAAUACCCCGGGGGGAUGACGGUACCGGAAGAAUAAGCACCGGCUAACUACGUG
rnacentral:rRNA from 1 species